CCCUCGGUGGCACAAAUGGUUAAGUGCUUGACUACCAGCCAAAAAAUUGGUGGUUCAAGUCCACCCAGAGGUG
rnacentral:tRNA from 1 species